rnacentral:rRNA from 1 species
AUUGAACGCUGGCGGCAGGCUUAACACAUGCAAGUCGAACGAGUGGCGGACGGGUGAGUAAUGCUUGGGAAUCUAUCUUCUGGAGGGGGAUAACUACGGGAAACUGUAGCUAAUACCGCGUACCAUAGUAUGAGCCCAAGUGGGAUUAGAUAGUUGGUGAGGUAAAGGCUCACCAAGCCGACGAUCCCUAUCUGGUCUGAGAGGAUGACCGGCCACACUGGGACUGGGAAACGGCCCAGACUCCUACGGGAGGCAGCAGUGGGGAAUAUUGCGCAAUGGGGGCAAACCUGACGCAGCCAGGCCGCAUGAAUGAAGAAGGCCUUCGGGUUGUAAAGUACUGUAAGCGAGGAGGAGUUAAACGCAGAAGAAGCACCGGCUAACUCCGUGCCAGCAGCCGCGGUAAUUC